rnacentral:rRNA from 1 species
UACGUAGGCAGCGAGCGUUGUUCGGAGUUACUGGGCGUAAAGAGUGCGUAGGCGGUUUUCUAAGUUUGGUGUGAAAUCUCCCGCUUAACUGGGAGGGUGCGCCGAAAACUGGAAGGCUUGAGUAUGGGAGAGGUAAGCGGAAUUCCUGGUGUAGCGGUGAAAUGCGUAGAUAUCGGGGAGGAACACCUGUGGCGAAAGCGGCUCACUGGACCACAACUGACGCUGAGGCGCGAAAGCUAGGGGAGCAAACAGG